AUUGAACGCUGGCGGCGUGCCUAACACAUGCAAGUCGAGCGGUAACAGGUGUAGCAAUACAUGCUGACGAGCGGCGGACGGGUGAGUAACGCUUGGGAAUCUGCCUGUUAGUGGGGGACAACCCGGGGAAACUCGGGCUAAUACCGCAUACGCACUACGGUGGAAAGCCGGGGACCGCAAGGCCUGGCGCUAACAGAUGAGCCCAAGUCGGAUUAGCUAGUUGGUAGGUAACGGCCACCAAGGCGACGAUCCGUAACUGGUCUGAGAGGACGACCAGUCACACCGGAACUGAGACACGGUCCGGACUCCUACGGGAGGCAGCAGUGGGGAAUAUUGGACAAUGGCGAAAGCCUGAUCCAGCGACGCCGCGUGGGUGAAGAAGGCCUGCGGGUUGUAAAGCCCUUUCGGUGGGGAAGAAAAGCCUCGAGUUAAUACCUCGGGUCUUGACGUAACCCAUAGAAGAAGCACCGGCUAACUCUGUGCCAGCCGCCGCAGUAAU
rnacentral:rRNA from 1 species